rnacentral:rRNA from 1 species
CAGUCGCCGCGGUAAUACGAGGGGGGCAAGCGUUGUUCGGAAUUAUUGGGCGUAAAGGGCGCGUAGGCGGUUUGGCAAGUUUGGUGUGAAAUCUUCGGGCUCAACUCGAAGUCUGCACCGAAAACUGCCGGGCUUGAGUAUGGGAGAGGUGAGUGGAAUUUCCGGUGUAGCGGUGAAAUGCGUAGAUAUCGGAAGGAACACCUGUGGCGAAAGCGGCUCACUGGACCAUUACUGACGCUGAGGCGCGAAAGCUAGGGGAGCAAACAGGAUUAGAUACCCGCGUAGUCCCUGUCUCUUAUAC